UACGUAGGUGGCAAGCGUUGUCCGGAUUUAUUGGGCGUAAAGGGAGCGCAGGCGGUGACUUAAGUCUGAUGUGAAAGCCCACGGCUCAACCGUGGAAGGUCAUUGGAAACUGGGUCACUUGAAUAUAGAAGAGGAAAGUGGAAUUCCAUGUGUAGCGGUGAAAUGCGUAGAUAUAUGGAGGAACACCAGUGGCGAAGGCGGCUUUCUGGACUUAUACUGACGCUGAGGCGCGAGAGCCGGGGGAGCGAACAGGAUUAGAUACCCCCGUAGU
rnacentral:rRNA from 1 species